rnacentral:lncRNA from 1 species
CUUGCUUGCUAACUGGAAAAUCCCAGUCCUGCUUAGGGCUGAAGGUUCCACUUACUGUUGUUUCAAUCUCUGUGAUUGGCUUAUCUGCAUGUCGCCGAGGAAAGCCCCUGAGUUGUGGUUUCCAUCUUGAAGUUCCCAGGAUACAGGCCGGGAAGCUGCUGUUCUCCACAGAGCUUCAGUAUCUAGGGUGGGUGACAGUCCCUGACCAGGUAAAUAAAGCUCUCAUUGAUUUGAAUUUGGACUUUGUGUUUUCUGAAGUGGCUCCCCAUAACAGCCCCACCGUCCUUUUAACAAAGAGACUAGUGCACGCUCUUAACUGGGGGGUGUCCUGAUGCUCACCUGAAGUUUCUCUGAGCACCACUGAGUACCUAGCAUUAGGUACUCAGUUGAGAGGUCCAAAGUUCAAGGAGGAAGCCCAACUUCCAAGUGUUGGUUGAGAUGUUAUCAUGCUACAUAAAUGGUUUUCCAGAAGCUUAGGUUUGUUUCUCUUGCUAUCCUAGAAGGACAGGCAUAAAAUACACUCUGCUGCGACUAAUGCUGUAGAUGGACAGUUAGCUGACACAGGAUGAGCCGACUGAGACAGUCAAUCAGAGAUUACAGAAAUGAGGAAAAUAGCACGGCCCAGUGGGGCGAGUCAGCUGAGACGGAGAAUGGAUCCAACAACCAACUGGAGCCCAGGCAGCAGUUUAUGUGGGUAGGUACACCAAGGGGGUCAGCGUGAGGAACUGCUUCAGGAAAACAGGAUGAAGGUGGCAAAACCACUUGUUUGGGGCUUAGCAGGUCACACCCACCUCCUUUCUACCUCCAGGUGGGCCGUGUUUGAACCUAGGGCUGUCUGAGCCAAGGCAGGGUGUCCAUUGGUGGAAUUUCACCUUGAGUUCCCACAAAAGAAACUCCCCUGCCUUGUGAUGGUGCAAACAAACCCACAAUUCAUAUAUGGUCUCAGACAUGUGUAUGUGACAUAAAAAUGUCAUUUCAUCAAUCUGUUCUUGUUUCUUCUUAACAUGUUUCCAUGAGUCUUCUCAUUUAUGAUCAUCACUCUGCUCUGAAAUAUUUUCAAACAUUCACACUUUAAAUUGACAUUAAUAUUCCCUAUUUUUUCUAAAUUAUAGGUCAAAUAAACUUGGGUAAAAAUUAGACUCUACCAUUUACUGAAUAUUUGAUCAAAUGUCAUAAAAGAUGAAUACCAUUACUGCUAUUGCAUUCUUUUGGAUUUCUGCAUUAGGACAUGAAAAACUCAUAUAGUGAGAAGUAUACAUUUGAAAUGAUCAAAAAAGAUUGAUGUUGAUAGUUGCUAUUUUAAUAAAAGAACAUAAAUCCUUUAAAAUAUUUUAACUCAAAUUCAUCAAGAACUUUUUUCUAAACUGGUUUUUCUCAUUGUUAUUCAACAGUUUCUUGUGGAUCACUGGCACUAGGAUCACUAGAUUGGAAUUACUGCUACAUAUUCAGAAAAUCAGAUUCCAUCCCAAAAACACUGGACGAGAGUCUGUAUUUUAGUAAAUCUCUUGAUUCAUGGUUGUGGAUUCAAAUUUUGAGAAUCACCCUUUUUACUUACCAUAACUUUCUUAUCUGAGAAAUAGACAAUUUAUCUUAUAAUUUUAAAAUCACAAAGUGUAUAUUCUUGUGUUGAUGCCUUAAUUUUACAUCUUAUUUCAUGAUAGUGAUAUCAAUACCUUGGUUUUUUGACUCUCAACACUCUUUCCUCAGAGUUAGAUAAUAGAGAUUAUUACUUUGUUACAAUGUAUUUUCUUGUAUAAUUAAAGUCACUAAUCUACUUGAGAGCCAGUUCUACUAAAUUUCAUUUCAUCUUCAGAGAACUUAAAAGCUCUGUGAAUGAUGAUAUGGUCAAUGUGAUAUUAAUUUGACUAAUACUAUUUUAGGAACUGUUGACAUUCAGGGAUGUGGUCAUUGAUUUCUCUGAAGAGGAGUGGGAAUGCCUGGAGCCUGCUCAGCAGAAUUUAUACAGAGAUGUGAUGCUAGAGACCUACAGAAACCUGGUCUUCCUGGGUGAGCAGAACUUCUCUUCAG